rnacentral:lncRNA from 1 species
AAGACUGUUAGGCCACCAUAGGUGGUCGUCAGCUAUAUUUAUUUGUCUUCGCAUACAUUUAGACGCAUAUACAAAUAGUAUUAGAGUAGGCCGUGAUAUUUACAAGCAGGGACAUAAUUUCUAGUCUAAACUGUGAUAUUUUGGUAUUUUUUAACAAUUAUUUCUUAGUAUAAUCGAUAUCGAUUAUUCAGUAUUUUUGUGGGGGUGGGUAGUAUUUUGGCACAUGUGUAAAAAGGAGAAGAAGAAAGCUACAAUUGCUUGUUUACAUUUGUGGAAAUGGCUGUGAUAUUCUAAUUGUAAGUAUUAAAAUGUUAGAUAUCUGUUAACUUAAAUUUUAGGCUCUCUGAUAUUAGGGGGCGUGUUUUCCGAUGCGUAGCUUUCCACCACAGAUGCCCUGGUCGACGCCUUUGGAUCCUCGGUUCGCUUUUUGAUGUCCGUAUUAGAUGUCUCGUGCUGACGUCUGUCUGCUGCAGCUGCCAUGAAGACAUCAAAAAACCAGUGAGCAGCAGGCCUACAGCCGGCCACUGUAGGCGUUGUAGUGGCCCUCUCGUGCUAUUGGAAAUUGGAUCUGGUCCAGUCCGUGCGGAAGUGGGUGUAUUUAGCCGCUCCAUGCCCCAGGCCAGAGGAUUUGCCUGGAUUUGGCCAGCUGCCGAGUGAACUUUAGUGAGUCGACCUCGCUCUGUGCGCUCCAGGAUGGCUCCGGAAGCUGUGGAAUAGAGAAAAACAGAGUUUUUGCCACCCUGAUCGGCAUUAUUAAUUUCCCUUCUUCUUUUUUUAGGAGCUCUGCAGAUUCUGGCCUCCAUGUGCACGCCCGCCAAACUUCCAGCUGGAGCCUCUUCUUGUUGAUCAGUGCGGGCUCGGUUUUCUUCAGCAGUAAUUUCGGCGUCCAUCGCGUCGUCCAGUUCCCUUUCCAGUCGCUGUUGAAG